ACGGGAAAAACGCUGCUUACGUCACUAAGCUUACAGCAGUAUACUAAAAUAUUUCUUUGCAAACAAGAACGAGUUUUAAAGGAUCAAUAGACCUAAUUAAACAUUUGCACACCAUCUAACUGUAGAUUGAUUUAUUAUAGAACUAUGAAAGAAAAGAGCAUACUACUUCCAAAAACCUGAUCUGAUUGUCACUAACUUUCAAAUUGAAAGGGAUCUACUACAACUGCUCAUGAAUUUCGAGAUUUUCCAGCUAAUAGAGGAACAAAUUUUAUCUGCUUCCACUUAGCCAAACAGCAUGGAAAUAUGCUAUUGUAAUGAGUAGAAGAUAUUUGUCAUUUAGAGUAUCAUGCAACAGCUAAUUAUCAGUCCACACAUUUCAAGAUGAGGAAAAGAACAGUAUAAGCUACAUUCAUUGAUGCAUUAUUUAUACAAAAAUGUAUAGUCAACCCAGUCAUCACUCCAUUUUUUUUAUGAAGCCAGUUACAGUUACCAUGAAGGGAUGAAAUUUCAGAUAAUAUUUUGUUUAUUUCAUGAAAUGAGAAUAGGCCUACAUCAGAAAUUGAGAUGGUCAUCUUCAGUAUUUAAUGUUUCAUCUAAAAAUGAUAAUUAUAUUAAUACAUAUUUGAUGUACAAACAAAUGAAAACCAUUCAAACACUUUUUUUUUGUGAAGUAUAGAUGAUUAAACUUGUAAAUGUCUGAACAAUACUACAUCGACAUUAACUUAUUAUUAUAGACUUUUUACAGGAAUGUAUCUUAAGCUGGACUGAAAGAGAAAGUUGCUAUAAUUUAAAUAAUAAAAUUUAAUAGUUUGAACAUGUAACUAAAAAUUGAAUAAUGCUAACAUUUAUUGACAAGUGAAUAUUGGUAAUGAUGU